GACGAACGCUGGCGGCGCGCCUAACACAUGCAAGUCGAACGAGAGAUGAGGAGCUUGCUCUUCAAAUCGAGUGGCGAACGGGUGAGUAACGCGUGAGGAACCUGCCUCAAAGAGGGGGACAACAGUUGGAAACGACUGCUAAUACCGCAUAAGCCCACGGCUCGGCAUCGAGCAGGGGGAAAAGGAGCAAUCCGCUUUGAGAUGGCCUCGCGUCCGAUUAGCUAGUUGGUGAGGUAACGGCCCACCAAGGCGACGAUCGGUAGCCGGACUGAGAGGUUGAACGGCCACAUUGGGACUGAGACACGGCCCAGACUCCUACGGGAGGCAGCAGUGGGGAAUAUUGCACAAUGGGGGAAACCCUGAUGCAGCGACGCCGCGUGGAGGAAGAAGGUCUUCGGAUUGUAAACUCCUGUUGUUGAGGAAGAUAAUGACGGUACUCAACAAGGAAGUGACGGCU
rnacentral:rRNA from 1 species